rnacentral:rRNA from 1 species
UACAGAGGUCCCAAGCGUUGUUCGGAUUCACUGGGCGUAAAGGGUGCGUAGGCGGCCGGGUAAGUCUGAUGUGAAAUCCCGCAGCUCAACUGCGGAACUGCAUCGGAUACUCUCCGGCUAGAGGAAUGGAGGGGAGACUGGAAUUCUCGGUGUAGCAGUGAAAUGCGUAGAUAUCGAGAGGAACACCAGUGGCGAAGGCGACGUCUGUCGAAC